UACGUAGGGUGCAAGCGUUGUCCGGAAUUAUUGGGCGUAAAGAGCUUGUAGGCGGUUUGUCGCGUCUGCUGUGAAAUUUCGGGGCUCAACCCCGAACUUGCAGUGGGUACGGGGCAGACUAGAGUGUGGUAGGGGAGACUGGAAGUUCCUGGUGUAGCGGUGAAAUGCGCAGAUAUCAGGAGGAACACCGAUGGCGAAGGCGGCCCCUGGACCGGUACUGGACGCCUGAGGC
rnacentral:rRNA from 1 species